rnacentral:rRNA from 1 species
CACUUUGUGAUCCAUGACUGGGGUGAAGUCGUAACAAGGUAACCGUAGGGGAACCUGCGGUUGGAUCACCUCCUUA